GUCUUUUUGUAAUAUUUUAUAAAAGUCUAACCUGCCCAUUGAUAUUUUAAAAGGCUGCAGUAUUUUGACUGUACAAAGGUAGCAUAAUCAUUAGCUUUUUAAUUGAGAGCUUGUAUGAAUGGUUGAAUGAGAAAUUAACUUUUUUAAAAUAAAAAUUGAAUUUUACUUUUUAGUUAAAAGGCUAAAAUAAUAUUAAAAGACGAGAAGACCCUAUAGAGUUUUAUAAAUAAUAUAAUAUAUUAAUAAUGAUGUUUAUUUUAAUUAAUAUAUAAUAAUUUAUUAUAUUGGGGUGAUAUUAAAAUUUAAUUAACUUUUAUUGCUAUUUACAUUUGUAAAUGAUAAAUUUGAUCCAUUAUUAAUGAUUAUAAAUUUAAAUUACCUUAGGGAUAACAGCGUAAUUUUUUUUUAAGCUCAUAUUAAUAAAAAAGGUUGCGACCUCGAUGUUGGAUUAAGAAUAAAAUUUAGGUGCAGCAGCUUAAACUUUGAGUCUGUUCGACUCUUAAAUUCUU
rnacentral:rRNA from 1 species